GUGGUUGGCUACAGGAUAUACCAAAUGUCUGAACAUCAUCUUACGAGAAAACAAGCCACAGUCCAACCUUCCAGAUUUCUCUCCGUCUAGCGGCCGAGGCCCGACGAAGACUGCACCUGCACGCCUGCAGUAACCAGCAUCCACGCCACCGCGGGAAAGAGCCAACCAGCGAAAGGCGGCCCCGCCUCAACGUCGCUGCUGUCCGUUCCCAGCCGAACAUGUCGGCGUCCGAUCUCCCCGACGAGCUGUGGGCGCGCAUCCUGGAGCUCGGCGCCGCGUCCUCCGCGCUGGGGUUCCGCGACCUCUGCUGCCUCGCCAUCGCCUCCCGCCGACUCCGCCGCCUCUCUCUCCACGCCUCCCUCUGGUCGGAGCUCCUCUCCCGCGACUUCCCCUUCCAAUCCCAAUCCCAGCCCUCCUCCUCGUCACCCUCCUCUUCGCAGCAGCAGCAGCAGCUCGACCCCAAAUCCCUGUACAAAACCAAGUUCGAGAGGCACAAGGCGCGGAUGGCGGAGGCGAGGCGGCGGGCAGUGUACGACGCGGAAGGGCGCGUGCUGGCGUGCCGGAAGCGGCUGACGGAGCUGGAGGAGUCGGUGCGUGCGGAGGGGGAUAGGAUGAAGGCCGCUGCGCAGGAGCUGGACAACCUCGAGAGGGUCAGGAGAGCUUCCGUGGCAUUAAAUGUGUGGCAACCACAAGUUGUUCAUGGGCGUCAGAAACAACUGGUUCAACAGUGCACUGUUCCUGUUGAUUCUCGUCUUGGUGAUCUAAACAUGGAGCUGAAAGUUUGUAAGCAACAAAUAGCAACUUACAAGAAUGCUUAUAACAAGGAGAAGCAGAAGUUGAAUGAGUAUGAGGAAGCAUUGAGACGAGCAAAAUAUCAUCCAAUACAUAAUAGUAGUCAUACAAGCCCAACUAUUAAUGAACCACAAGCAAAGAGAAAAAGAAUGAAGUAACACAAUUCUGGCCAUCGGAUCUUCCUGUGCCAGUUUGCCUCAAGUUCCAUGGCAAUGCAUGGGCACUACGCUAGUUUUUUUUAAAACACCUCGUGAGACUCUCCCCUGCGAGCUGCCAGCACUUGACAUGGUGGGAGGCCCUGCGACUGUGAGUGUUCAGCCUACAUCCGCGACCCCCACAGGCAACGUCCUGGGAGGGUACGCUCUCUCUAACAAAUCCGUAUACUAAGUAUCCAAAUCAUGAUAAAGAUGCAAUGCAGCAAGUGCUAAAGGUAUUCAUUUCAGGGGUGUGCACAUGAUGUACGUGGCGUUGUUCCUUUCCAGCCAGGAUGAUUAAUGCUCAACCUCAACUGAUCUUUCCAAGUUGAAGAGAGAAUCUCAUUCUCAUCCUACGCUACCGUCCAGCUGCAAAGAUGUUACUAUGUUCCACGGUACAACGGUCCGAAACUAUUUUCAGAGCAGAAUAGUCUCUGGUCUUCGUGCCUGGCUGCUUGCCCAUCACGAAACUGUGUGCGGUCAACCAUAUUCUACUGUUGAAGGACUACAGAUCUGACCGUAGCAUUGCUUUAGUUGACCUGUGGUUUCUACGAUACGUGUACUGCAUGGAAUUCUAUGCUCUCUGUGUUUAUAGUUUGUAAAUGGAAUAUUUGAUGGUGUCAUCUUAUCAAAGGCACGUGACAUUUUACGUUAAUCUUUCA